ensembl:snoRNA SNORD115 Small nucleolar RNA SNORD115
GGUGCCAUGGUGAGACCUUGUAUAGUCUUGAGAAUCAUGAUGACAUAAAAUCAUAAACAAUAAUAUUACACAGAGGCCC